UCUGCGUCAAACUCAUCGAUUACGACGAA
rnacentral:sRNA from 1 species